GUGCUAUAUCACAUUUCCUCGACCAAAUGAAUAUUGCUCAUUCAACCUCGCAGUCUUGCCAUUCGCAUACAGCUGUUUGGCAGGAACUUGCUGGUAUUGUAGAACACAACCAUGAUGGUCACAACUGUGCAGAGAACUUGAUACGGCAUUUGUUUGAAUCUGUACGCCAUCAAGGAGACCCAUGUUCUUGCCACGCCG